GAUCCCUUAGGUCAGUAGGUCCAGCGGGGGUCGCAGUUCCAGUAACCAAUCGCCGCGCGGCCGCGGGGCCAAGGGGCCGCGGGGCCGCGGGGUGGAGCCUCAGAGCCCCGCCCCUCCUCCCCACCUACCCAGGUCCGGCCUCCCUCGCACCUGCGCGUCCCCCGGCUCUCGGGCUGGUGUAACAUCUUCCAGCCGGUGCUGGCGGGGAAGGGGCUUGGCCUCGUCUCUCGCGAGAUCGCCUCCAGUGGCCGCCACCGCCGUUCCUGGCUGCUGACUGGCGGCGUCUGCGCAGCCGCCAUGUUCGGUUGCUAUGCUGUGGCCUGGGAGACGGGGUGUGCUUGAGGGAGGAGGAGGAGACGGAGGAGGAGGAGGAGGAAGAGGAGGAGGAGGCGGAGGAGGCGGGAGGGACUGAGCUCCCAUUGCACUCUCACACACAAACGCUGCCCGGGAUUGCCUGCCCGCUCGCGCAGCGCCGCACGCAGUUCCGCUCCUCUCGGCCCCCACAUUGUUCGCUCAGGACUCCAGGGUCCCCAGGGGCCGGAUUCCGGGCCCCGCUCCGGGGCUCCCCUCCCCCACGGCAGUGUGGCGGGGUCGGAUUAGCUCAUCCCCGCAGGGAGGUGGGAGAGCGCGCGGCCGCCCCGCAGUAUGAGGUGGUGCCGGCGGCUCGGGGCCGUGGCGCGGCCGCUGCGGCGCCGGCUGCUGGGGGGGCGCUGAGGGAGCCCUGGGGGCGGCGCAGCCGGGCCUCCGGGCUUUUCUUCUCCAGCCGGGAGGACGCGGCUGGGAUACGAAGACCUUGUGUGGACAGUAAUGACCUCACGUUUCCGAUUGCCUGCUGGCAGAACCUACAAUGUACGAGCAUCAGAGUUGGCCCGAGACAGACAGCAUACAGAGGUGGUUUGCAACAUCCUUCUUCUGGAUAAUACUGUACAAGCUUUCAAAGUUAAUGUAAGUAAUUUAUGUGUUUUUAAAUUUUAAUUGUCUGGUUAUAAGUCUGAAAUUAGAUUAAAUUUUAAAACUGAAAUUGUUUAAUUGCAGAACAAUUUGAAAAGCCUUAUUCAAUGAAAAAAGUCUUGUUAGUUUGGGUUUGUAACUGCCAAAUACAUGUUCCAAUUCAAACUGGGUCUUUUUAAGAGGUUCCCAAUCCAGCAGUUCAAUUUUAAUAGAGCAGAUCAAUAGUAUGUGGGCAGUUUUUAGAAAUGUACUUGAGGGUGCUUCAAAGGAAUUUUUCUCAUAAAUAAUUUAUACACUUCAUUGUGAUCUUAUUGUACUGUCUAUGAAGAAGAGUUUUGCUAAACAAAGUAGCCCUGAUCUUACCUGAAUUUUAUCUGAAAUAUUAUUCAACAAAUAUUUAUUCAUUCUAUUUGUGUCUAGCUUCAUUUGUUCAACAUUUUUUUUUGACUUUCACCAUGUGGUAUGUUAACAAUAAUUGGUUCAUUUUUGUUGCUGUAUAGUACUCUCCUGUGUGACUAUAUAUACUACAGCUUAAUUAUCCAUUUAUUUAUCACCAUUUAUUUGUCUAGUUUAUUGUUUGUGUAUAUUUGUGUUUUUUACACUUUAGGCUCUUAUCAGUAAUGUUGCUGUGAACAUUGUUAUACAUGCCUUGGUAUAUAGAAGGGCAUUCCUCUUUUUUAUUUAAAAAAUUUCAAACCUACCAAAAAA
rnacentral:lncRNA from 1 species